rnacentral:rRNA from 1 species
AUUGAACGCUGGCGGAAUGCUUUACACAUGCAAGUCGAACGGCAGCACGGGGGCAACCCUGGUGGCGAGUGGUGAACGGGUGAGUAAUACAUCGGAACGUGCCCGGUCGUGGGGGAUAACGUAGCGAAAGUUACGCUAAUACCGCAUACGAUCUGAGGAUGAAAGCGGGGGACCUUCGGGCCUCGCGCGAUCGGAGCGGCCGAUGUCAGAUUAGGUAGUUGGUGGGGUAAAGGCCUACCAAGCCGACGAUCUGUAGCUGGUCUGAGAGGACGACCAGCCACACUGGGACUGAGACACGGCCCAGACUCCUACGGGAGGCAGCAGUGGGGAAUUUUGGACAAUGGGCGCAAGCCUGAUCCAGCCAUUCCGCGUGCAGGACGAAGGCCUUCGGGUUGUAAACUGCUUUUGUAUGGAACGAAAAGGCUCUGGCUAAUACCUGGGGCUCAUGACGGUACCGUAAGAAUAAGCACCGGCUAACUACGUG